CUCCCUCUUUAAAACAACAUUUAAUCGCCGUUUUCUGUUCUUGGACAUCAAAGCUGGGGCUUAGGCACUGCACUGGGGUCCCGGCGGCGCGGGCUCUUGGGGAGAGGAGUGGCUCUGGAUGUCACUCAGGGAGCAGAGUUGAAGCCCAGAAUUAACAGAAGUCUGCACAAGACCCACAAGAGUGUAGCUGAUCAAACAAAGAAGAGUGAAUCUAAGGACUGCUCCAUCCUGCCAGCACCUCCUCUCCCUCCACCCACAGCCACAGUGCCUUCCGCCUAGCUGCCAGCAGAGUCCCUCUCGCCCCAGCAUCCAUCCAUCCUUUACUCUUCCAUCCUGCAGAGAAUAUAUCCCCCCACCGCUCCCCCUCUACAGACAACUUAUCACGUUUUUGAAAACUCCUUAAUCACUCCUAGGAUAGGUCCAAACUCCCCAUGGGACCUCAAUGGUAGUCCCUGCUUGACACCCCAAUCUGUUCUUUAGAUCCACCCCUACCUUGCUAGAGUCAAUUUGAUCACCAGGAUGGUUUUAGAGACUUAGGGUCCUGUGCUCUGCGGCCUGUGUCACCCUGUUUCACCAGCUGAACAGAGCACAACGCAAGCUUCCUGGUCCUCUCAGCUUUCCCCGGGGUCUUGCUUCAUCUCAAAUGCUACCUUUCUCAGGAGACCUUCCCUAGAUGCCUGAGACUGUAUCGGGUGCCCUGCUAUGCAGACCCUGCAACCCGCCAUUUGUCACAGUGCAUUACUGUCAUCUAAGCUCUCCGGUGUUCCCUUCACCAGACAUCGAGUUCCUUGAGGUUAGGAACCGUGUGUUCUAUAUCUUGGUGUUCCUAGAGCCUAACAUUGCACUUGGCAGGUGCCCAAUAAAUCUUUGCUGAAUACAUGGAAGGAAAAUAGAGGGAAGAAGAGAGGCAAUUCGCUCACUGAAACUGAGGAUGCAGUCGCCAAGGGUGAGGAAAUGGAGCUAAAUAGGAAGACGCCCCUCACAUGCCCACCUAGGCAUCUCCCCAUGACAUCAAGAACUGGUAUCCAUGCUGCAGGUAGAGUAGCUCAGUGUGGGCUCUUGCGCCUGUAUUUGUUCCUAAGGUCACCUUAAAGGAAGAAGGCGUGACAGGCUCAGGACAGUGGCAUUUUAUAGCUGGGGACUACCUGGCUUGGUCCAGUCUAGGGUGAGCUGUUUCCACACAGACCGGAAGGCUUUGCCCCACCGGGAGGCCCUAGCUCUCUCUGUGCUCCCAGACCCAGAGCUACAGCUCUUUGGCCACUCCUUACCCGGAGUGCUGGCGGACUGACUCCCCUAGGCUGCUUUCUUUGCACCCCAGGGGUGCCUCAGUGAAAGUGAACUCUCUCAUUUAAACCUGACUCUGCAGCCCUGCGGCCCCCUGCAGAGCUAAUUACCCUGUAGUUCCAAACUGAUUGCUGUACACUCAGCUUAAGCCCUCCUUUAUUUAUUUACUGACUACAUUAAUAGCAAAGCCCAGUGGCUUUCAGCUGCUCCUUGUUACACACCUCUGGCUGUUCUCUGUUGCCCAGCUUCUCUCAGCCUGACAUAGAGCCCCCCGAACUUACCACCCUAACUGAAUUCCCUGGACAAGAUAAUAGCGAGAGAACACGGUUUUGUCCACACCGUAGUCCUGCCACGCUGGGCUCCUUCUGUCUGACUCUUGGGCAGUGGGAGAGACAACAGCCAGAGCUCACCAGCUGGAGGGGUGAGUGGAGGGAAGGUGGGACGCCUUUCAUCUACAGGACAUGAAAUGAAUCUGCUUCCGUUCAGCACCACAGCUCUUGUGGAGAAGUACUGGCUAUUGGCUCCUCUUUACAGGGGAGUAAACAGAGGCUGUGACACACACACACACACACACACACACACACACACACACACACACACACACACACACGGUCCUGUUAAGGGAAGAGCCUCCUCUCCAUCCUGUCAUCCAGGGUUGACAGUUUUGUUCUGUCGCCUGUUCUCACAGCACCCGCCCCUUGUCACCAGGAAGGAAUCCCUCCAUGUACUGAGUCAAAUCCCACAAUUCCUCAGGGUUGUCUGUCCUACUCAUGUACUUGGCCAGAAUUUGCUGGAAACCAGGGAACAUUCCAGGGGUGCAUUCCAGGGUGGGCCUGGGUCAGGUCUCAUUACCCUGGUGAGGAAGCCCUGCAAGGACACUCAGCUACCUAUGACAAGGUACCUCGCCUCCUUCCCAUUCUGUGGUCCAGGAGGUUCACGGCUGCCACAGCCACCGACAGUUUCUCUGGUGCCCUCGAGUCCUUGAGUUUACACUGGGUUCUAGCCAUGAGAUUCGGCAGCAUUCUGAAGACCGGAAGGGCCUCAAAAGGACCUCUGGAGUCAAGCAUUCAGCCUCCACUUUGAUUCAGAUUCAGCUCAGUGGCUGUCCCAUUGCCACACCUCUGAAGAGAAGGGACAGUUGGAAUUUAGCAAGAAGAACCUCAAUUCAUAGUCAAAAGGACGCUGUGUUUUGGGCCAGCUCUGCCAUACUCUGUUUGGCUUUGAUUUUGUAUUAAGGUUCUCCAAGGUCUUCUCUUCUCAACUGUGAGACGGAACAGCAAUUUUUAGCCCAUCUACCCUCAGGCACUUAUGUCAGCUGGGUAAGACCCUUAGAAAUCAACUUUGUAAAGACACCUAUGACAAUGUAAGCUAUAAGGGGAUGUGGCAGGCACAGGAUGGCCUGGAAGGGGAGGUAGAGGCCUAGGUGUCUGUCUCUUCCUAGUCCAGAAGCCCCUUUGCGUGGCCUGAAAUGAGCAGAAUGCCUACUUGACAGCAUAAGUAGGACUCUGUCUCCACCUAGUGGCUAGUGCUUGAAGGUGCGUAUACUGCUCAGGCAUCUGGAAAGUGACGGGUAUAACUGUCUUGGUUGAGUGAGGAUGGGUAAGCAGAGACUAUGAUUCACAUGAUACCAGGGGAGAAACACAACCUGAUUAUGGGAGGUCAAAAGGAUCUUUCCGGGAGUCCUCCUGAGCCACUGCAUCUUCACUCUUUACUUUUUCUCCCGUUGCACGCUUGGCGAUUUAGAUCCCAGUCUUCCCAACCCUCAAACGCUAAUUCAUAUUUAACCCUCACCUCACCCGGAGGGAUCAGCAGACCCAGAUGGACUUCAAAUCCUUAAAGCUUCUUUACCAAGGAAGGCCCAAACAGGCCAUUGGAACUGAACACCACCUCCAGGCUGGUUUUAAGAAAUGACAGGAGACUGUGUAUGGGGACAGUGGGGCAACCUAUGUCCCUGUGUUCCAGAAGCUUCAGAAAAAUUAGAAAUGAAAUGCUGUGGCUGCUGCCCUGACACAGGACUGUCCCUCCAGGGCAAUGUAAAAGCCUAACACUGUACACUCCUCCUCCCCUUGCCCAUCUCUAGCUGGAUUGGCCUCUGUUCUCGAGACUGUGGCUCUUCCUCACUCGGAUACCUGAGUCCCCACCCAUGGGCCAUUGAGUGUCUUUCCCCUUGUCCCUUGGUACCUCUGGCCACCUCGGACAGUUGCAUUAGAAUGGGUUAGAAGAUAUCUCUCACCAUAUUUCUAGCUAUGACUCUGGUUAGCUCUACAUAGCCUCAGAGAAAAUCCCUGGCUCCAUACCACCUGUUAGUUCUCCUCCCACCCACUUCUUUUAAAGCAGCAUUUGGUUUUUUAACUGAUAUCUAUUGGGGUGGAGGUGGAAGGUCUUCAGGAUAAAGUAAGCUUCUAGUGACCCCAGGUGGACAGAAGAAGGAAAUGCACACGUGGUGUCAGGCAGAUGAGAAGUCACAGUGACAGAGGGAGGGCACAGGGACCUCCCGUGUCUGACCUGAGAGACACCGACCCAGCUCCCAGAAAUCUCUUAACGACUAACCUCCGCUCUCUGCCCCACCAGAGCUUGAUCUUCCCGUUAAUUCUCCACAGAGCAGCUGAGAUCAGGCUAGGCCGUCUAAAUUAGAUUUCUCUGAUCUCAAAGAAAAUUAAAAAAAAAAAAAAAAAAAAAACAAGAAUCACAUGGACAACAUGGCAUGAAGCCCCAGAGGGUCUCAUGGCGCCUCUCUCUCCCCACAGGCUCCCUGUCUGCCUUCAGAGACUGGGGACUGCCACUAAUUCCCAACAUGGAUGAACUCUGAGAGGGAAGCCCCCGAGUGCUGUGGGUUUCUGGGAUCCCGGGUGUAUGACGUAGGGUAUCUAUGCCCUGUCAAAUGUCAACCCUUCCUCUUGUGCUCCGCAUCCCACGGUCUUCUUAAGCUCUUGGCUCAUGCAUUUCUCUCUGGGGCCUCACUUCUCCAUGACCUGCCCAUUCCCAGAAUUAUGGAAACCAGUCUUUCUGCAGUUUAGGAUGGAGGACCUGUUAGUUCUCUUACAGCUAAGAAAACCCAAACAUCUGGGUUUUCUUGGAAAGUUGUUAGAUUCUGAGAAUUCAUUCAUUGAUGGCAAUAUCUACUCAUAUACUAAUCCUGGGUUUCCUCACAUUGCCCUGGACUCCUGUAGGCUACGGUCUAUACUGGGUUUGGCCUGAGUUUCUUGUUAUUCCAUGUGUGAGUUAUGCUGGAUGUUUUAGCCUCUGCCUACCACAGGACUUCGUGUCUCUCUCUCCUGAGGCUUGAAAGCAGUUUGAACUUGGAAUGUCCCUCCCAGGCUCAUGUGUUUGAACCCUGAGCAGCCAGCAGGUGGUGCUAUUUUAAAAACUUGUGGAACCUUUAGGAGGUGGAGCUUUGCUGGAGGAAGUAAGUCACUAAGAGAGGCUUCAAGGUUUCAUAUUCCAGCCCCACUGCCAGUCCACUUUCCAUGUCUUCCCUGCAGCCUUAAACUGCUGCUUUCGUAGAUGUCUUCCUUACUGUGACAGAUUACAGCCUCUCUUAAGCUCUGCACCAGAUUCUAGGAAAGGUCCUAAGCAGUGUGGCUCCAAUCUUCCUCUCUGAUCCACCUCCUUCCACCAUCCUCUUACCCUGGUGCCCAGCUCCCCUGCCUUCCACCUGUUUCAAGCACAGGGCAAGCUUUCACAUGAAGCCCCACUGCCCUUUGCCAAGAUGUCUUGGCCCCAUAGAUCUAUGUAUGGCUGCCUCCUUCACAUGCAAUUCAGGUCUCAGCUCACCUAUGCCUAGUCCCAAACUUGCUUUUCAUAGCAUGUACCACCAUCAGACCCAAUCCUCUUGUGUGUGUUUACGGCCCUGCUGGCCUUGUUUCUAUUACAUGCUUGCUUACAAAAUAUGCUUGCCACACAACUGUUAGUACAACCAACGCUAAUAUUUAUUUAAUACCAUCAUUUGUCAACUGUUGUCUUAGGUCUCUACAUUUUUCUCCUUGGAGUAUUUUAUAUUAGUUGUUAGUUGUACACACUAGGGGCCAGAGAAAUGGCUCCUCAGGUAAAGGUACCUGCUGCCAGGUCUGAUGACCUGAGUUUGGUCCCUUGGACCCCACCAUAGUGAGAGAAGGGAACUGACUCCCACAAGAUGUCUUUUGACUCCACCUCCCACACUAAGUAUACAAAUAAAUAAAUGUUAACAUGUGCACAUAACUUACAAAAGAAUGGCUUUUACUAUAACAGUUUUACAUGUUCAUAUUAUAGUUUGUGCUGGUAUUUUUUCUUGCUAUGUCAACACAGCUAACAUGAGCAACUCAAAAAGAAGGAAAGUUUUAUUUUGGCUCAUAGUUUCAGGGUGCAGUCCAUCAUGGUGAGGAAGUUACGGUGAUGAGUGUAAGACUGGUGACCACAUGGCAUCAGAGUCUGGAAGCAGAGGCAGGUCAAUGCGUGCAGCUAGUUUUCUUCUUUGUACUCAGUCUUGACACCCCCCCCCCAGCUCAUGAGACAGUGCUGCCUAUGUUCAGUUGGAUCUUCCCUGCUCAGCUAAACCUUUGUGUAAACAUCCCAUAGACACAUAUCAGGAGGCGUGUUUCCAUGGUGAUCCUAAGGUCCAUUAAGCUGACAAUGAAAACUUAACCAUCAUAGCCUUUGAUUGUAGCUCCCCCAUCCAAUUACCCUCUCUUGUCUUAAGCCUUUAUUGGAAGCACUUUAAAAUGAAAACUUUCAAAGACACUCAGAAGCUGAGAGAAUAAAAUAACGAACACACCGUGAAGCCCAUCAUAUAGAUUCAAGAUCACAAAGACUUUGUCAAACCUGCUGCAUCUUUCUCUGUGUCAUGAUCCUAGGUUUCUAAGUAUAAAAAUAUUUAAUAUCCCAGCCACCAUGUUUUUCUUCUACCUACUUCCACAUAUUAAUAUUUUAGAAUGAGUCUUCACCUGGACAUGGGGACACAGACCCUUAAUCCCCAGAACUGGGGAAGUAGAGGCAAAUGGAUUUCUGUGAGUUCAAAACCAGCUUGGUCCUCUUGGAAUCUUUUACAGCCAAGGCUACAUUGUGGGACUGUCUGAAAGAAAUAAAAAGAAACGAAAGCUUUCUUCUAUAGUGGCUGUGUUGUUCAGACACUUUUAAAGACUAAGAAUGAGGGGGUGAAGAGAUGAAUAAGAACACUGGCUGUUCUUGCAGAGGACCUGGGUUUAGUUCUUAGCAUCCACAUGGUGGCUUACAGCUGUCUGCAGCUCUAGUUCCAAGAUCCAAUGCUCUCUUCUAGCCUCUGUGGGCACUGCAUGCUUAUGGUACACAUACAUACAUGCAGGCAAACACAUAAAACAAAUAUAACUAAAUCUUUUUAAAGAUUAGGAAAGAUUUCUCAAUAGCUUUACGCAGUUUCUGUUCAGAUUUUUAUGAUUGACUUAAAAAUAACUUUUUAAAGUUUAUUUGUUUUAUUAAGGAGCCAGGCUAGGCCCACACAUUGUAUUGGUUUGCAUUGUUUUCUGGCCUAGGGCUGGGUUGUGGGAAGGGUAUCUGAGGAGAUCCUAAGGAAUGCAGUCAUCUGGUUGACCCAGCUUUGGGACAAGCAGAAUGGGGACAACUAGUCUCUGUGAGACUCGGAAGCUUUGAAAUAACCGAUGGACUCACUCCCAUUCACAGGGUCACUGUGGUGAUAACUGAGAGCAACCUCACAGAACAGCUAAUUGCUCCUCUUGUCUCAGUCCUUUGGCUAGCUUCUCCCAGAUGUCCGGAACAUCUGUAUAAUCCUCCCACUUGUUUAUAAAUUUGCCUCUUUGUCUUGCAUCUCCCGGAGCUUGUGGGAGAGGGUCAAUCUCCUUGUACCACUUACUGUGUCUCCCAGAUCAGCUGCUCAACAAAGCUCAUGUGCUUUGCUCUAUUGGUUCAAAACACACCAGAACACACUUUUACGUAUCUGUAUUAGCGACUUUUCUCAUUGGUGUUACAAAGUACCUACAAAAGCUAUUCAAGGAAGGAGGGGUAUAGCUUGGCUUAGCGUUUCAGGGGCCAUGAUUCACUAUGGUGGGGAAGUUAUGGCGGCAGAGAUCUGCCACCAGGAAGCAGACAAUGAUGAAGGAGCUCUGGGACCCCAGCCCACAGGACAGUGCUGCCCACAUUUGGGAUGGACCUUCCUUUCUCAGCUAAACAUUUCUGGAAGCAUCCUCACAGACGCGCCCAGAGGUAGGUUUACCUGGUGAUUCUAAAUCCCUCUGAGUUGACCGAGAAGAUCAACCAUCACGGAUGCACUGGAUUCUUAUUCUGGACCUGCCCUGAACCUGUUCUGAAUUAAUUAUUGAGAAGGCAAGCAAGUAACUUCGGCAGGCCACGUUGCACCAGGACCGCAUUUUCUGUUUGUCCUGUGCUAUCUUAGAGCUCUUGGGCUCGGGACAUAGACGUUCCCUAGUGGGUGCAUUAAAUUGACAUGGAGAGAAGAGAAGAGCAAGGGUCUGGAGGACGCCGGCAUGGGCUCCAGGUGAGGAAGGCUGGCCUGCACUGGGUAGAGUCUCCCUGAGGCUCUUUCUGUAGAUCUGAGCUCCCGCCUGCCUUUUUCUCACUUCUGGACGCGCUCAUCACAAAGGUGUACCUAACACGUGAACUCAGCUUUUAUUUACCUGAAAAUGUAUUUAUCUCUCAACUUUGAAGGAUGGUCUUAUUGGAUAUAGACUUCUGAGCUGAUAUGUUUUCUAGAUUUGUUUUCUUUUGUCUAGGGUGUCUCUGCCUUUGUCUCCCAAACCCAGUGUGUCUGGUGGGAACUCAGUCUCUGGUGAUUCCUGUUCGUCCUCUCCUCCACAGAGCCACGCCCUUUCUCUCUGGCCGGGUUCACAUAUUUUUCAAAAGUUUCAGUCUGAUGAGCUCAUGUGUGAGCUUCCUCGGCUGGAGUCUGGCUGAGCUGCCUGGGUCCCAGGCUCUUCACGUGUCAUGUCGACCGAAUCUUAGGAGCUUGUAAUGCUUUGGCUGCUGUUUUCCUGCUCCUUCCCCGCUUACUACAGGAGCUUUAUGCCUAAGUAUGCUCCACACUUGUAGAUUUUCCCACAAGUUACUACCACUCUGUUUAUUCCAUUAUGGUAUGAUCUUUCUCUUUCCUCUGAUUGCAUAAUUUCUCUUUUUAUUAAUUUUUUUAGCACACUGCAUUAUAUUUCAUACAUGAUCAUCACACUUUGCUCAUGGCAUCUGCCCCCAUUUUUCUUUUCUCCUUUCCUCUCCCCUCCUCUGCUGAUUCUCUCUCUGCUUUUAUGUCACCUAUAUCCAUACAUAUUUAAUAUUUUUGAGCAUGCAUAUUUAAAUCUAGAUUUCAUUUGAGUGAAAGACGUAAUACUUGUCUCUUCCCCAUCAUCCUCUCUUGCUCCAUCUUGCUCCCUAUAGUUACUUCCUCCACAUCCCCCUUUUUACUCCAAUAUCAUGAGUAUGCUUUUUUAAAGUCUAGAUUCCUUGUAUGAGAGGAAAAAGGAUAUUUGUCUUUUUGAAUCUGACUCAUGGCUAAAUACAAUGAUCUCCACUCUCCUUCUUUCUCAGCAAAUGGCACUGUGUCUGUCUCCAGUAAGUCUGAGUAAAAACUCCAUAAUUGUAAAUUUCCCAUUCUUUAUCCUUCUGACUGGAUAAUCUCUAUAUUACUGUAUCCAAGUUUAUGGAUUCUUAUUUUGACACCUUCAGCCUGCUGUUAGUGUCAUAUUGCAAACUCUUCAUCUCAGACAUUAGAUUUUCAUUCUACUUCUUUAAAAUAAGAUAAAAAACUUUUUCUGUCAAAAUUUUAUUUUCGUGGCUCAUUAAAAUCACCUUUUCUCUAACUCCUUAAACACAUUCAUAAUGGCUUUAAAGUCCUGGUCCAUUAAUUUUAGCAUCUGAAAGUCUAUUUCCACUGAGACCUUGUCAUUUUACAGAUAGCACUUUCCUGUUUCUUGACAUAUUUAGUGCUUUUUUUUUCUGGAGGCUGGGAAUUGCCAGUGUAGGGUAUAAAAGUCUGGAUUGUGCUGUUAACUCGUUAGAAGCAAUAACAUCUUUUCUUCCCCAAGCUGGUUUGGGUCAGUAUUUUCAUCAAAGGAACAGAAAACAAACUAGAUCAGAGAGGGUCUGGGGAGAUGGCUCAGCAGGUAGAAGCAGUCAAUGUGUGUUCUAGUUUGGUUUCCGUUGCUGGGCUCAAACAACAGGACCAAUAGCAAGUUGGGGGAACAAAGGACAUAUUUUGGUUACAAAUCAUAGUCUAUUGGGGAAGGCUAAGGCAGGAACUCAAUGCAGGAUCUGAAAUAAAGACCAUGGAGGAAUGCUUACUGGCUUGCUCUCUGUGACUCAUUCAGCUUGCUUUCUUACCCCAGGGGUGGCACUGCUCAAAAUGUGACUGGUCCUCCCACAUCCAUCAUUAAUCAAGCCCACAGGCCAAUCUCAUGGAGUUGAUUCCCUAUAGUUCCUUCUUCCCCCCAAAUGACCUUAAUUUGUGUUCAGUUGACAAACACUAACCACACAAUGCACAAAUAUAAAGCCCUGAAUUCAGAUUUCCAGAAUCAGAUCAAAACAAAACAAAACAAAACAAAACAAAACAAAACAAAAAAACAGGCUACUUGCACUGUAACUCCCGUGCUAUAUGGGAACAGAAGAGACACAAAGGAUUCUGGGAGUGCUGGCUACCAACCUAACUGUAACAUAUCACAUCCAGCUCAGAUUCAGGGGGAGAGCCUGUCUCGUAGGAAUACGACUGAGACCAAGAAAAGAAGAGACCCAACAUUCUCUUCUGGCCUCCAUGGGAGUUCAUGGGUGUACAUACAUGUCCACACUACACACAUGUGUACACACCACACACAUGUACAUACUGUAUACAUAUACACACUACAGACAUACAGACACACAAACACACACACAUGCACACACACUCACACACACACACACACACAUACACACACACACACACACACACGUGCAUGUGCAUGUGAAUGUGUGCUGGCAAAACCACCAGAACAUCACGAGGAAGCCUCUGUUGCAGAUUGAGUGGCUUCCUUCUAAAAUGAUUUGAUCAAGUCUUAGCCUCCUACUUCAGAACGUGACCUUUACAGGGGCAAUUAAGUUAGAACAAGGGCACUAGGGUGGGGCCAACCCUGUAUGACUGAUUUCCUGAUAGAAGCAAGAGACUGAAACACAGAGACACACACAAGAGGAAUGGCACAUGAGGCAGAUGUGUUGCUGCAUCCACAGGAAAUGUCCAAGACAUCCAGAGAGCGCAGGAUCUAGGGGAGAUCGGGACACACUCCACAGCACACACUCCACAGCACAUACAGUGACGAGGCGCACGCUAUACAGAUAGUAACUGCCUAGGAUGUACUGACACGGAGAAAGGUCUGCGCAUGUUCAGUCCAACACCUUCCGCUCUAGAGGGCUGAGCUGUAUCUCCUUGCCCCUCCCUUGCCACGGGGUUCUCAGCUCACAUCUUAAACACCUGCCCCUUCCCAUCCCCACUUUCAGGAAAAACACCAUUUCCAACUGUGAAUGCCAGCUUCCUGCGUCUCCUCAUACAUUUGACUUGUUUUGGCACCCGUCCUUGCUUUUCCCUCUCCUGUCAAAAUAUUUAGUGUUUCUCUGUCAAAACCUCAUCCACUUUUAGCUCCCACCCUGUGUCUUUCACAGCCAGGCCUGUGUUUUUGCGAUCUUGUUUUCGCUCCUUGUCUACACUCCCUCUCACCUCAGCUCACUCCCAUGCCGUAAUCUGGCUUCUGUUCUCUGGCUUUACUGAUGUGCAUCUGUCGCCUUUGAUCUUGAUUAAUUCUGUCCCUGUGCUUUCCUUAAGUCUAUUUACUAUUUUAGUAACAUCUUCAUUUGGAUGCUUAACUCAUCUGUUAAUGUCUUUUCCUGUUUGCUGAGUAUUUAAGGCUGUAAAUUUUCCUCUCUUUGAUUUGUGCUGGAUGCCCACUCCCCUUCUCCCCGCCUCUGCAGUUAUUGCCUGUUUGUUUGGUUUUUGCUUCCUCUGUCAACCUGAGUGUUCAGGUGAAAAUUAUCACGAUUUUAGGUACCAGAUUCCCUUGUUUUCUGGUUCUGACAUCAAUAUUAUUCUGUAGCACUUUGGUCUGAGGAAAUACUGGAUUAUUUUUAAUUUGAGGGAUUUUUGGAAUUUGUCUGUGAUUUUUCUGUACGGUUGAGUGUAAAUGGCUGCUCCAUUGCUAGCUUAAAGAGAAAGGAUAGUUUCUGCUUCUAGAUUAUAAAGCUCUCUGUGUUAAUUCGCUAAAUUUGUAUUAACUAAAUGUUUGUGUGUGUCUGUGUGUGUGUGUGUGUGAAAGAGAGAGGAGAGAUGGAGAGAGAGAGAAAUGGAGAGAGAAGGAGAGAAAAAGAGAGAAAUGGUGAGAGAGAGAGGGAAGGAGUGUGCAGGUGCAAGAAUACAUGCAUGCCCAUGCAGAGGUCAGCCCAAGGCCCUCUACUUCUGUCCACUUUACUGCCUUGAGACAGUCUUCUCAUCUAAACUGUAGCUUGCCUUUUGAUCAGGUUGGCUAGCCAGUGAGUUCUCAACAUCUUCAGGUCCUAGUCUGCUAGUGCUGGAGGUACAGGCAUGAGUAGGCGCGCCUGGAUUUGACGUGAGUGUUGGAUGAGCUCAGGUCCUCCUGCUUACAGAACCUGGGCUCUGACCUACUGAGACAUCUUCCACGCACGUUUUUGUUUCCUGUAUCCCCAUGUAAUUUAGGGACGCACGGGCAGAGGAAACUUCUACUCUUCCCCUGAAUUGACUCUAGGUAGAGCCAGAGCAAAGGAGAUGUUUUUGUGAUUGUUCAAUAGCCCAGCAUACCAUGAGGAGGGCAUGGGAGAAUCACUCCUCUUGUUCUUGAAUAAACCAGUCUGGUGCUGACUUAAUACUCGGGCACCCUUACCAAGAACAUUUUGUUUUCUCACAGUCUGGAGGCUGCAAGUCCAAGAUCAGCCUCUUGGUUGCUUGGGUUUCUCCCGUGCCAUCUCUCCUUGACUUGUGAGUAGCUGCCACGUGACUAUGUCCUCUCAUGGCCUCAUCUCUCUGUCCCUGUCCCUGUCCCUCUCCCCCGCCCCCUACUGUGUAUGCGUUUGCUUCAGGUGUCUCUCUUUCUCUCUGUCUUACAAUGAUGCUGGUCCUAUUGGAUUAGAGUCCAUCCUUAGGACAAAAGACUCUGUUUCUAAAUGCUCACAUAUGUGGUUUGAUCUGUUUCCAGCCCAGAGCUCUCUCUCUCUCUCUGUGAGUCCUUAGACCUGAGUCAGAUUUCUAUUAGGGCCCUUCAGCCUCAAGCUGAGCAUGCUCAGAACCAAACUCAUCACUUCGCACCCUCUCACCCAACACACCUAUCCUGCCUUUGUCCCCAGUACUAUCAGCAUCUGUCACUGGUCAGGGACAGAAACCAAUGGGUUGUGUAGGAAGGUGUAGUUCAGUAAGCACUAAAUAUUAAUACCUAACUUGGGACUCAGUAGAGCGCUUGCUUAGCAGGUACAAGGCCUGGGUUCAGCCUCCAGCAUCACAGAGACACUGUGUGGUGCGGCAUCUCUGUACUUGUAGUUUGAGGCCAUCCUAAGCUACAGAGCAGUUUGAAGCCAGUCUAAGAUACAUGAGACCUCAUCUCAAAAGUAAAAACAAAAACCCAAUUACGGCGUCUUCCUCUUCUCACUAGUACCUAUGGGUAUUCAUAGGGGGUUUAUUGGAUGUGGGGUGUUGGGCUGUGCACAAACAGCCUGGUCCCCAGUAGAGCAAAGGUCUGGAACCCCUGAGCCCCGGUGGGCCGGCGGUGAUUUCCACCUGCAUGGGACAGAAGGAACUCAGUCACGCCUCCUGGGCACCUGGCUCCUGUCACAGCCUCUCACAACCCCCCUGCAGAGGCGUAUGCGGCAUCAAUCACAUAAUAGCUGCACCAAGCCCUCCCACAUGCAAAUAAGGUUUCCCCAAGCUCUCAGUCCAAGCCAAUGAGAAGUACCUUCUGUCAAAUCCUGAAUCACCCCCCCCCAACUGUAUAUAAAUCUUAUCCAGGGAAUAAAAGGGGUGUGAGAACUACUCUGUCAUCUGAGCCUUCUGUCCAAAGAGCUGUAACACUUGGGAAGAGGUCUGCUCCCCCGAUAUGUGGCCUGAAGCUCUGCCACACUCCUCAAUGGCUUGUAGGUCUCUUGGCGGCCCAGACCAACCCGACUCAGGGAGAUGGAGGUGGAGCCAACCGCAGCAGCAGAAGCAGUGGGAGCGGAAGGAACCUCCCCUCCCUGCCCGCACUCGCUUCCCUUCCUCGGAACUCCUGGGCAUCAGUCUGGGCCAGGAGAUCUCCGUGGAAAGCCUCUGGUACCCACAAUUGGAGACCAGGCAAGCUACUGAAAUGAUUCGAAGGCUUUCUAUAGAACAAUAAGGGGAGAGGAGGAGACUGGGGCUCUGACCUAAAAGCCAAAGCCACCGAAAAGCCUGGGGGGUAAAGGAGGAAAGUACAGUGAUCUAUUGGAGGUGACAGAGACAAACAGCUACACAAUGGAAGGCUCAGGAAAAUCCCUUCACUGGCUGCUUUGUCCUUCACUCGAAUAUUUAGGGGUGGGACUUGGGUUGUGGCUGGAUUCCUGAGAGUAGUUUGAUCAGGAAGGCUCCUGAGGUUGUCCUUCUAUGAGCUCCACUGCUGUCCAUGGCUCUGUGCAAAGCCAUAGCAUCUAGUGGCUCACACAGCAUCUGAUGUCUUGCAGGCGAGUUUUGAAUUCACAGUAGAUAUCUACCUGGAUUCUAUGCUUGUCCAGAAUCCUUUGGGAGUCAGAUUCCUUCAUUUCUUCCUGAAAUACUGGUUGUUAGAAGAAGUGUGGGUCUCUUUCAGCCCGGGUGAGAUUUGAGAGCUAGUAGAGAACCAUGCCAUUUUAAAAUCAGAUCUGCAUUCCCUUCAACCAGCACAGACUGGAGUGUGAGGCUGGGAAGGUGUGGUUUUGGUUUUAAUUGUCAAAUCAACACAAUGUAGAAUCACCUGAGAGAAAGACCUCUUAAAGCAUUUCUGAGGAAUAGUCUUGUACUGGCUAGUUUUGUGUCAACUUGACACAGCUGGGGUUAUCACAGAGAAAGGAGCUU
rnacentral:lncRNA from 1 species